UUGAAGCGAGAUAUAAGCUUUCUGCAAUUGAUUGUCCUCUGCAACCCAACGACGUCUCCAAACUACGAUACGAAAAUGGAGCUCAAAUCCACGAUUCGUAAUAGUUAGGUUUAGAUCUGUAUUGGGAGAGGUUACUGUGACAUCGUAUUCGGUGCUCACUAUACAACAUACACAUCUCAUCUAACUACUCAUUCAUUAUGAAUUACAUUAUUCCUUACAUACCUUAAUACAAAAAUAUAACAUUAUCCCAUGUUUCACUAACCUUAACAUUACAUGACUUAAUAAUACAAAAAGUUUUUAUCAUUGUAUAUCAUAACAUUAUUACAUAAAAGACACUAUUUGGUCGCCUUCUCUUUGCCUUUGUCCUUCUUCGAACAUUCGAGCUUAACUGAAAUAUUAUCAUGAUAUAGCAAGGGUGAGCAACUAUUUCUCUCAGCAAGUUUAAAUACAAAAACGAUAUAUCAUGAUUAGAAGAGUUUUAACUCUUUAGAACUUCAACAAUAUUAAAAAAUUGUGAGGUAGCUGAAACAAUGAAUCAUUUCCAAAUUAAGGAUUUUUUAAAAUUUUAUACUGAAUAACAUAUCAAGAAUGAAAGAGUUAAAUUCUUUCGAAGUUUCAACAAUAUCAAGUUGAUUAUGAAGAAUUAGCAAUACUGCAACAAUAUUAAAUAAAUAGGGUUAUUCCCCAGAUUUCAUGUUGAGUGAUCACAAAUGGAUCUAGAACUUCUCGAGAGAUUAUCAGUUCAUUUACUGAUUGAAUCUCUCAAAAGUAUAAGGUAACCAUAAAGAUUAGAUCAUACUUCUCUGCAAGUACAUAAGGGGAUCAACCUUAUUGUACUCGAUAUUAUGCAUAAUACUCACAUGUGUCUCCCUUGUACAUCAGUCCCUUGUACUUGAUAUUAUGCAUAAUACUCACAUGUGUCGUUCACAUGUGCAAGUACAUCAGUUAAUUUCUGCGUGUCGUUUUCUGACAAUAAAGUUCCCCUUGUUUUUAUAAGGGUUGUUCAUCUUAGUCUCACAUCAUGAGUUCGUACCACAAUAAUAUGGUUUGGAUUGAUUUUAAAGAAAUGCUAUGAUUUCAACAUAUAAUAUCAAUAUUGAUGUAGUCGAAAUGAAUGAUAUAAUCUUUCAAUAAAUCAGUUCACAAGUAAUAGAACGCUUCAUCAAAUAUUAGUCUAGCCGAAACAAAUGACAUCAAUCUUUAAUAACAAAUUGGUUCACAAAUAAUAGAACGCCUUAUCAAAUAUUAGUCUAGCCGAAACAAAUGGCAUCGAUCUUCAAUAACAAAUUGGUUCACAAAUAAUAGAACGCUUCAUCAAAUAUUAGUUUAGCCGAAACAAAUGGCAUCGACGUAGUACUUAAAUAAUUCAGGUAUAAUUGAUUUUUAAAGAUAGCUUGAACACUUGUACAAAUAUAAAAGAUUCGUAUAAGUUUUAAGAUUUAAUCAAUCGUAUAAACGUCAAAUAAAUUUAGAAUUUUCAAACUUCGUGGAAUAGUCAUAAGAACAAGGCUAAAUGAACAUAUGAACUUGAACACAAUAAUCAAUUGUACAAGGUUAGGCAAUCAAAGUAAAUUAAGGAACUCGCAUAUCAUAAGGUAUAUACAAGAGAAAUAAAGUUGCACAAGGUAAUACUUUGUACAGGAUAAUAUAUAAGAAAGUUCAAUAAACUUGUACUAGGUGCGAAUAUCAAUAAUCAUAUAUGUGGAAUAAUUGUCAAUAAUUAAUCCACUAGCAUACUUGAAACAUAAUAACUCAAGUUUGAGUUAGAGAACUUGCAAUAAAUGUGAAUAUUCAAUAAUAAUCAUUGGAUGUGGAAUAUUCAAUAAUAAUUAUUGACUAACAUGCUUUGAAAAUAAAUACUCAAGUUUGAGUUAGGGAAACUUGCCUCGGUUGAUGACUACUGCUAGGCAAUUUAAUAUAACUUCUUAUGAAAGACCUAUCAUUAAUAAGAUCGAUCUCUCAAUUAGCAUCACAUAUCUUACUCAUAAUAGCAUUAUUCUAUAAUAUUUUAUCUAACAUUUGAUAUUACCAUAAAUCAUUAGUAAUAUUAUCAUCCUUUGAUAAUAUUCUAUCAUAUUACCAUCAUCUUAAACUCCUAUUUAAUAUCAAAUAAUAUUUCAUCACUUCUUAACAUUAUUAAUCACUUAAUAAUAUUUUUUUCCCUUUUCAAUAUUAUUAACGACUUGAUAAUAUUUUAUUCAUUCACAAGUAUUAUUAAUCAUUUAAUAAUAUUUUAAUUUUAAUCCUUAACUAAUAUUAUUAAUCAUUUAAUAAUAUUUUAAUCUAAUAUUAUUAAUCAUUUAAUAAUAUUUUAAUUUAACUUUAAUCUAAUAUUAUUAAUCAUUUAAUAAUAUUUUAAAUCAUUAUAUAAUAUUAUUAAUCAUUUAAUAAUAUUUUAAUAUAACUUUAAUCUAAUAUUAUUAAUCAUUUAAUAAUAUUUUAAAUCAUUAUCUAAUAUUAUUAAUCAAAUAAUAUUUUAAUUUAACUUUAAUCUAAUAUUAUUAAUCAUUUAAUAAUAUCUUAAUCUAAUAUUAUUAACUCUUAAUAAUAUUUUAAUCAUUUAUUAAACUAAUAAACAAUUUAUUCUAAUUGUUUACUCUUUACUAAUUUAUUUUUUUAAUAAUCAUAAAAUGCAAUACACAACAUUUUAUCAAAAAUGACCAAAAUACCCUCAAAAUCUGGACACAUCAUUUUAAGGGUCUUUAAGUCAUAAAAUCACAUUUUCACUAUUUUUAACAUUACAUAACUUAUUUUAUCCAUUUAUUCAUAACUCAAUCAUUUACAUGAAAAAUACCAAAACAACUUCAAAAAAUUUUCUUUUCGGGGAAAUAUCAGAGUAUGAUAGUCUAAUGAACAUAUAUUUUUUUCUGGAAUUUUCCAAUUUCAUUUACUACUUUUAAAUUGCCCAAAACAGUCGGAUCUUACAAUAUUUUUCAUAAAUCGAAAUUUUGUCCAAAAAUUAUGAAAUUUUUAGGGUAUGCUCCUAUUAUAUGCAUCUACUCACAGUCAAAAUUUUACAAUUUUUUGAGUUAACCAUAGAGUUAUUUUCGUUUACUUUUAAAAUAAUCCUUUCUUGUAAAAUUCAUAACUUUCAUUCUACACAUCCAAAAAUCAACACCUUUUUACUGGACUCGGUUAACUCAUCAUAUUAUUAUACCAAAUUUUUCUAGAAUUUUUAGAACAAAUUAAACGGACGAAACUGCCCUUGCAAGAAAUUGGCCAGGAACAACCAUUUUCCUUUUUCUUCACAAGCUGAACUGUUCUGACCAAAACAGCCACCAUGGCUUGAAAAAUCAAUAUUUUUGAGUGCUUCCACUUGGGUUUAAAAACCAACUUACAUAUCUAUCACCCCUCUUUGACGGAUCGCAAAAAGGUGUAGAUCUUAAAUGGUAGACUUUCAAAGUAAUAAAAAGUUAGGGUUUUCUAAGCUUGAAAAACAAAAUUUUAUUUUCUUUCUUUUGAUCAAACUUUACACCAAAAAUGGUUAGAUCUAAACAUAAAAUACUCAUUACCAUGUGGAUCAAGAGUUUUAGAGUUUAUGAACAUAACUUGUUGAUUUCAUCAAAACAAAUUAAAUAAAAGGAAUAAACUAAUUUAUUGAUAGGUUUUUAUACCUUUGAUAAAUGUGGAUGAUUUCCUUCUUCCUUCCAAGAGUUAUGAGCUUAAAAAAAAUCAAACUCUCCUCUCUUAUCUCCCCCUAAGUGGCUGCCGAAAUCCUCUUGGAUUCUCUCUCUUUAUUUUCUUUCUUUAGCUUGCUUUUUGGUGGAGAUGAAAGAGAAAUGAAGAUACUUUUUAAUAACUAAUGAGAUGGGGGUUUUAUAAAAGCUAGCAAAUAUG
rnacentral:lncRNA from 1 species